UCUUAUUAGCCUGAGCAGUACC
rnacentral:misc_RNA from 1 species